rnacentral:rRNA from 1 species
UGGGGAAUUUUGGACAAUGGGCGCAAGCCUGAUCCAGCAAUGCCGCGUGAGUGAAGAAGGCCCUCGGGUUGUAAAGCUCUUUUGUCAGGGAAGAAAAGGUGAUCUCUAAUACAGGUCACUCAUGACGGUACCUGAAGAAUAAGCACCUGCUAACUACGUGCCAGCAGCCGCGGUAAUACGUAGGGUGCAAGCGUUAAUCGGAAUUACUGGGCGUAAAGCGUGCGCAGGCGGUCAUAUAAGUCAGAUGUGAAAUCCCCGGGCUCAACCUGGGAACUGCAUUUGAGACUGUAUGGCUAGAGUGUGUCAGAGGGGGGUAGAAUUCCACGUGUAGCAGUGAAAUGCGUAGAUAUGUGGAGGAAUACCGAUGGCGAAGGCAGCCCCCUGGGAUAACACUGACGCUCAUGCACGAAAGCGUGGGGAGCAAACA